UUACAUUUUUCUGCUACAAAAUCUAUAUGAUCAUGAUGAUCUUAUUUUUAGUAUGAGUCUUGAUGUCAUAAAACUGAGCAAAGCCAGAGUGGACACCAGAUUCUGCAUUAUCUAUUAUUGUUUCACAACGCCCUAAAUUAAAUUAGAUGGCCCUAGCAGCACCAACAUAGGAUUUGGUGUUAUGGUUUCUUUUCUCACAUCGAUUGUACCUGGCAGGGUUAUGAUGACAUUCCCAAGGAAAUUACUGAUUCUAAUGCAACAAAGCAUGAGGACUGGGAUGAGGAGGAAUGUGGCGAAUGGACAGCUCCGACCAUUCCAAAGCUGGAUUACAAGGGACCAUGAACACAAAAGAAAAUUAUGAACCUGAACUACAAGGGCAAAUGGAAGGCGCCUUUGAUCGACAACCCUGGUAACCUGAGCUUACCCACUGUUGUACAUUCAGACUUAUUUACUGUCCACUUAUCUUUUCUUAUAAGAAGCUAUGUAUUUUGAUCACUUCCUAUAUAUAUAUUUGUGGGGUCUACUUCCUUUUCUUAUGCUUCGUGAAGUACGGCAUAGGCGCUUCGAUCCUUACUCUAUUAUGUACUGCCGCUAAUUGUUAUGCAUAAUGUGUUGUGUGCAUCAUGGUUUUACUACUUGAAAAUGCAUGCUUAGUAGCUUGCUUCUCUUAUUAACUGCAGAUUUCUGCUCUCCCCUUUUGUAUUCAAUCAAGGAAUGUAUAUAAUAAUUUAUUUGCUCAUGGCGGUGAGAUAUUUGAAUCUCUACGCUUGUGUGCACUAGAAUGGAAUUUCUCAUGGUUUUCUAUGUAAUUCUUCAACAUAUUGUAGCCCUUACUGAUCCAUGACAAUGGAGAAUGCAUGUUUUAUCAAUAAGUUGUCAAGCAAUUCUGAUUUGUACAUCUACAAGCUGAUGCAGUUAUUGUCGAGAACACUGUUGGUUCAGCGUUGUCAUCAUGCAAGCAAUAGGCUCAUUUGCAUGCGGCUUGUCCUAUUAAAAUUAACAUGUAAAUUGUGAGAGGAGACAAGUAAGAAUAUUUGGUUUGAAAUUGUGAGAGGAGACAUUUUAGUUACCCAUGAUGCAUUUUCUUUUUGUUAACUUAUUUCAUUGUUCUCAUCUGCCAACAAAAUUCUCUCGAGCUAUGAUGAUCAGUUAUGGCUGAUAUAGGCAUGCUCUCGAGCAAUCGAGGCACUUGUGGAUAUUAUUUUGGAUCCUCCCUCAUUUCUUUGAGCCGUUUUGAUCACGUUCUUAUUUUAGUGGCUCUGUCCCUAGAUGGUCAUUUCUGAUGAGUGAUAACCAGGGCAGUUUCACCCUCGUAAGAACAUAUUGAUCUGGUGAUCCAUCCAUCCAGAAAUAAGAGAUGAAUGUUCCUACAAGCUCUCACAGCGAUUUGGAUUCUGGGCCAUUGGAUCUGGUUGCGUGAUCGGAUCUGGGCCGUCGGAUCGAGUCGCUGGGUGACCUGCGCCAUCGGAUCAGAUCCUUGGAACUGUCGCAAUGAAUAGUAGUCCAAAACGCGUGCCACCGCGUGUUAAUCACGUGCCCCAUCGGUUGGAAGCCAUUCUUGCUAGGGCGAUGAUGAUUAACCGUCGCGGAAAUAAGUGUGCCUUUGAGCAGUCGAGGCACCUGUGGGUAUCAAGUUGGAUCCUCCCCUUUGUCUCUAGAAUCCUUUUUUAUCCUGAGAUACUUGUUGUUGUCCUUGGAUGGUCAUUCUUGUUGAGUGAUAACCAGGGCAGAUCUACUGUAUAAACAGAUUGAUCUGGUGAUAAGAGAUGAUGGGGGUAGGUUAUAUGAUCGAGGAAAGGUGAAUUUGAGCCCACUGUGCAAUAAAACUGCAGGUACCUCCCCUACUGUGUGUGAUACUGAAGGCAAAAAAGAACUUUUCAUGUCUUGCUACUUUAAAAAUCCAAAAGGUUCAUUCUUCCUUUGCUGGUUACUUAACCAUGAUUUUUUUGCUUUGGUUCUGGUUGAGAUACUAAAGGUUGUUUAUAUAUGAAAAGAACAGUCACUUAUAGUUUUGUAUGCCUCAACUGCAGCUUAGGAUCCCGUGUUGUAGUGCUUUGCCUAAUUAAGAAUAACUCUAAUCAAUAAUAGUAUUUCUUUCCUUCUGAUUUGAACUGAGAGAGGGCCAUUGAUUCUUGACCUUAAGGUGACCCCAUUUUUUCUAUGCCUCAUGCUUAUGCUGCUCUAUGUUCCCUUUAAAAAUCCCGGCUGGCAUGCCUCGCCUCCACCUCCCGUGGCCCUGACCCAGGGUUUGGUUGGCGAGCUCGCUGCCGUUGGCCUUGGACGAGGAGAUUCGGCACACACACAGGAAGGAGCUCCGCCUCUGCUGCCUCUGCACACCCCAAGUUUGGGAUUACCAAACCAAGAGCUGUGUUCAAACACUUGAAGGACAUGCACACAAUGUGUCCGUUGUCUGUUUCCAUCCAGAACUACCUACUAUAAUUACUGGCUCAGAGGAUGGCACAGUUCGCUUGUGGCACUCUACAACCUACAGGAAACGCUCGGCAAGCCACACCACCUACGACGUGGUGAUCCCCCUCCCAUCGAGAACUGCCAUGUAGUUUUCUCUGCCAAGGUUGUUGUCUGUGUCGGUCUACGACGUGGUGCAUUGCCUUCAGUGGAGUGUGGCAUAUGCUUUUGGUUUCUUGUAUUGUUUCUGGUAGAACCUAGGACCGUUGUUCUGGAUGCUCAUUUUGUGUUACAGUGGCUACCAAGCAAACCAAUUGCAUGGCAGAUACGAUCUCUAGAAAAUGGUAGUUGUCACUCGACUUAUGGAUGUGCUGUCAGGAAGGUGCAUUCCUAUGUAAAAUGUGGCUUCUAUGUAUGAUGCUAAUUUAGUGCUUGGGGCUGCUAUGUGUUGACGUGGAGCAGGCAGAGGAGGAGCGACUACUACCCCAACGGCAGCCUCUCCUCCCUUGUCCAUGGACAUGCAAAGCACAACAACCAACAGCAGACGACACCUCCUCCAAAGCUAGACAUGGCAAGCAAGUGAGCUGGGAAACAUACCGUGUGCGGUGCUCGCAAAGGUUUAUUUGGAAAAUGCAAACGCGACUAUGAAGAGUAAAGAUGUAUUUCAAAAAUAGUACCUUCUCAAUACUUUUGAUGUACUCUGAUCUGAGACCUGUCUUUGGCAUUUUUACGGGUUAGGUUCAGAUGAAUCACCAUGUGCGACACAACAGCCAUCUGAUAUAUCUUCCAAGAUAGUUGUGCCCUUUUUGUAACUACAGUAUGUAAUGAGCACUUGUAGUUCUAUGUGCUUGACUGUUUGGACUAUUAAGCUGGGUAUGCAGGUGACAAGUUACAUGUGUUUUACACAUGUCUUGUUCGCUUUGCACACGAUAAUCAAACAAGCCUUUGUAUGGUUAAUUGAUGUUCUAGAGAUGUUUGGUCCUUUUCUCAACAGGCUGAAUCUUUUUUGACA